rnacentral:lncRNA from 10 species
CUUACUGCAGAUUCCACCAAAAAAGUAAGAAGAUCCAAAAGGGCAAGGCGUAGGGUCUGUCGGGCGGGUGUGUCCCAGUUUAAACAAAGCUGCUUUGAUGUGCUUCCCAGCGGGCAGGCACAGGAAUGCAAGGCCCUGCUCUGUCUUGCAGCCAAGAGGGAGUUAUAAACAUCCAUCUGCAAGGGAAGAUCCAUCAGCUCCUAUCAACCACACAGGAAAGAUUUACAGGACAUACCAAGAAGACAGCCAUUAGGAAGCCAGGAAAAGCACCCUCAGCAGAAUCCAACCAUGCCAGCUCCCUGAUCUUGGACUUCCAGCCUCCAGAACUGUGAGAAAAUAAAUUCUUGUUUUUUAAGCCACAUAGUCUAUGCUAUUUUGUUAUGACAGCCCAAGUGGACUAAGUCAAAUACCCACUGGCACAGUGCCUAGAACAAACCAGCGGUGCCUGUGACAAACCAAUCAUUAUUUAUCAUCUACCUGAAUAAAAGGCAUUUGAGGUGAAUCUGAGAGAGCCGGUGUAUUAGGUUCCAGUGGCCAGUGCCAGAGAGGGG